UACAGCCAUGUCAUGUUGAAACAUCAGUUCUCAUGCAAUCACCAAAGUUAAGCAAUGUUGAGCCUAGUCAGUAUCUACAUGGGGGACCACUUGGAAAUACUAGGUGUAGUAAG